rnacentral:rRNA from 1 species
UACGGGGGGGGCAAGCGUUGUUCGGAAUUACUGGGCGUAAGGGGCUCGUAGGUGGCCAACUAAGUCAGACGUGAAAUCCCUCGGCUUAACCGGGGAACUGCGUCUGAUACUGGAUGGCUUGAGUUCGGGAGAGGGAUGCGGAAUUCCAGGUGUAGCGGUGAAAUGCGCAGAUAUCAGGAGGAACACCGGUGGCGAAGGCGGGUCUCUGGGCCGGAACUGACGCUAAGGAGCGAAAGCGUGGGGAGCGAACAGG